rnacentral:rRNA from 1 species
AUUGAACGCUGGCGGAAUGCUUUACACAUGCAAGUCGAGCGGCAGCGCGGGGGCAACCCUGGCGGCGAGCGGCGAACGGGUGAGUAACAUAUCGGAACGUACCCAGUCGUGGGGGAUAACUAUCCGAAAGGAUAGCUAAUACCGCAUACGUCCUGAGGGGGAAAGCGGGGGAUCGCAAGACCUCGCGCGAUUGGAGCGGCCGAUAUCGGAUUAGCUAGUUGGUGGGGUAAAGGCUCACCAAGGCGACGAUCCGUAGCGGGUCUGAGAGGACGAUCCGCCACACUGGAACUGAGACACGGUCCAGACUCCUACGGGAGGCAGCAGUGGGGAAUUUUGGACAAUGGGGGCAACCCUGAUCCAGCCAUUCCGCGUGAGUGAAGAAGGCCUCGGUU